rnacentral:lncRNA from 1 species
AAUAAAUCUUGUUACUGCUCCGUUUUUGCAUCUGCAGUGCUUUUGUGAGCUGUGACACUCACCGUGAAGGUCUGUAGCUUCAUUUCUGAAACCAGCGAGACUCCCAACACACCAGGAAGAACAAACAACUCUAGACGCGCUGCCUUAAAAGCUGUAACACGCACCACGAAGGUCUGCAGCUUCAGUCUUGAACCACCGAGACCACAAACCCACCAGAAGAAGAAGAAAAAAAAAACACUCGGAACAUGAGGGAACAAACGGCGGGACAUGCCGCCUUUUAAGAACUGUAGCACUCACUGCGAGGGUCCGUGGCUUCGUUGUUGAAGUCAGUGAGAUCAAGAACCCACCAAUUCCAGACACAGUAGUACGGCAAGGCCCGCCUGAGCUUGUCGUAAUUCACGUUGGUCUUGUUCUUGCAUAGCCCCCACGGCUAGGCCACCUUCCUCUGCAACCACCAGCUUGAGUUCACCACCAUCCCAUGAAGUCCAGGAGCUGUGGCCGUUGCCUUGCUUUCAGCAGCUGCAGCAGAAAGUGCCACAGCGUCACAGGGUGGACAAAGAUUCUCUGCUUGGCCAAACUACAGUCAGGCUCUGGAACCUUCUCCUAGGCCGGCCUGCACUUCCUUGUAAGAAAAAGGCUUUAAAAAGUACCUGCUGGGGCCCGGAGCGGUGGCUCAUGCCUGUAAUCCCAGCACUCUGGGAGGCUGAGGUGGGCGGAUCAUCUGAGGUCAAGAGUUCAAGACCAGCCUGGCCAACAUGGUAAAACCCUGUCUACUAAAAAUACAAAAAUUAGCUGGGUGUGGUGGAGGGUGCCUGUAAUCCCAGCUACUCGGGAGGCUGAGGCAGGAGAAUCGCUUCAACCCAGGAGGCAGAGGUUGCAGUGAGCCAAGAUCAUGCCACUGCACUCCAGCCUGGUGACAGAGUGAGACUCCGUCUCAAAAAAAAAGAACCCCCCUAAGUCAGGUUAAAGACCCACUCUUGGCAUCUGAUCACCCUUGAUCCUGAGUUCCUCAUCUUCCAGCAUCUCCCAGGUCUGAUCACCCUGGUCUGUCUGCAGCAAAAAUCUUCCUGGGCUAAUUUAGCCAGAACCCUCCGUCCCCCCAAUAUUUCCUCUUGGGAAUGUCCGUCCUCCGAGUUUACCCAGCUCCCUGGCUGUCAAUCCCCGC